CGUGAAGCUUUUGCUGGUAUAAGUGCACCUUGGAGUGUGUGUUGUUUGUCUUACUCACGUGAAAAAGGGCAAAAACGCUGAAAGGGGUCGUUUUUCGGCAUAGCUAAGUUGUUUCAUGAUAGACUGUUGAACGGUUGGAGUGAAGCGUUCGGACGCCGCCGCCGCCGCCGUUGAAACCUGUGGUCGCUCACUGACAUGAGGAACCGUGAGAACUGCGACACCACUGCCUGAUUGAAAGACGGAUGCUGAGUGCUUUUUCUACAAAUUUAUAAUCUUCAGCAGUGAGUGGAGUCUGAGUGGAGGCCAGACGCACACUGGCUCGUUUGGCCAUUAACUCUUGCCAGGAUGUGCAGAUGCUGUCGGUUGGUGUUGUGUAUGAGACAAGACAUCUUCAGCUCUAUCAGCUAAAUGGUCAUCAAGUGGCUAUGGGAGGUGUGCAGAAACACUGAAUAUGCUGUUGCUGCAGUAAAGACCUCAAGCUGCUCCACUCUCCAGACUCACCCCUUAAUGAGCUCACGCAGGCAUUUGUCAACAGCACCACUUCUCACCAGCAGCAACUUGGGCUCCAUCCAGAGAGCCAAUGACCUUAAGGAAGCUCGGAAACCCUGUGUCUCCAUUUUUCAGCUUUAUAAAGGAGAGGAGUAGGUGGAAGGGAAGACAACGGAAAGAAUGAAAAUGAGGAGGCAGCGAGGAACCAAACCAGUCUGAGGACGACUCUGGAUUAUGUUUUAAUCAUCAGCAGGAUACAAUAGGCCAAGAAAUCUUUUUUUUUUAACUGGGAGAUUUUAUAGCAGUCACCUCGCUGAAUUCAAGAGUCCUGACCUGCUGAAACAAGCACAGUGAAAAAUCUUACACCUUAUUGGCGUCUACAACGUCACAGAUCACUACGAGGAUUCCUUCACUUGCGUCUUCCAGGGUUUUAAUGCAGACAUAUUUUACACCACCUGCAUCACAGAACAGGAGAGGACGCCAGGAAUCCAUGAUUCUCUGUGGCCUUUCGCUGUUUUCUGGAAGUUCUCAGCCUCGGAAACGAUUAAUGCGUCUCAGUCUUGGAUCCAUGGCCUCAGAGCUCUGACCUUGGACCAUGAACCGCAUUACUGAUGCAUUACAGCGGCAGCACAGCCUGAACAGUCACAUAGAGGAGAUCAAGGAAUCUGAUGAACAGCACAACAAGCUGGACGAGUCUCUGCCUGAUGGUAAAGCUGCUGCUCUUCAGUCCCACCUGGGCCGGACCCGCUUGAGCCUCCACGUCUGACCAUGUGACCCGAACAGACUCAUCACUGUGUGAUCAGGACAGUACAACUCUUCAUCUUCACCAAAGUCUCACUCACCCUCAAACUUUACCCCCUGAGAACUUCCUAUAACCCCCAGCAUUCGCUCUGAAGUGUAAUGGUUGCGCAUAUUAAACUGUCUUUAGAGCCAUGGAAGCCUUGAAGAGCAGUGAACUGUGCUCGUUCGGGUUAAAACCCUGAAAACAGGAGCUGAGAGCCACAAAUCACUUCACAACAAGGCCGAGAUCCACAGUGGGAGAGGGAGCGGUGUAUGAUAGAGAAAAUAGUUUGAUGUACGACAGACAUCUGUGCUGAUUAAACUUAAGGUGGGCGGCGAUCGCGUUCCUGCUCGUGGCGCUGAACCCUCAUCGCUAAUGAUGGAGCCGUCCGCUCAGUAAUUACCCCCCCACCCAUGGAGCGCAUCACAAAACAGCUGCAUGGAGAUCCGGACCUCUCCACCCGCCUCGCCUCUUAGCGCUGAUUGCUGCCGUUUCAUCUGAGCAGAGAGGCAUUAAUCAACCCUCUUGAUUCAGCGGGUGAAAUACCUGGACAUCAUCCAAACACAUCACGGUUCAUCAUGUGAAAAGGUCCAGAGGGAGAGUCACGCAGGAGAGCGAGGCGAUGGAGGAGCACGGGUCGCUCAUACAAACACGUGUGUGCUGUUUAAAGGGAACGCGCCUGUGUUUACCUGCAUCCAGCUCCUCAGGACCAGAAGAACCCACGUCCGCAUCUGUUCCACCCUGUGCUUCCUUUAUGUUGCGGUGGUUUAUUUGACGUCUUUAACAUACAGUAUUCUCUGGUUCCCUGAGAUUUUCCAGUGGUUUGACUGGGAUUUUGCUGCUUUUUCGUUUUGGCUCGUGUUGUUUACAAGAAAAGUUUUAGCACAGAACCGAUUUAGAAAAAGAUGAGUUUCUGAAUCAGUCUUUAACCUCAAAGUUUUGCAAAGAAAAAAAAAAAAAGAUGAUCUU